UACGUAGGGGGCAAGCGUUGUCCGGAUUUAUUGGGCGUAAAGAGCUCGUAGGCGGUUGGGCAAGUCACGUGUGAAAUCUCCACGCUCAACGUGGAGGCGCCACGUGAGACUGCCCUGACUCGAGUCCGGUAGGGGAGCGUGGAAUUCCCGGUGUAGCGGUGAAAUGCGCAGAGAUCGGGAGGAACACCGAUUGCGAAGGCAGCUCGCUGGGACGUUGCUGACGCUGAGACGCGAAAGCGUGGGGAGCGAACAGG
rnacentral:rRNA from 1 species